UUCGCUUCUCAGUAUUUUAGCUAAGAUCAAGUGUAGUAUGUGUUCUUAUCAGUUUAAUAUCUGAUACCUACUCUAUAAGAGGACUCUAUAUUAAAAGGAGUUUUAGAGCUGGGAGACGGAAAAGAGCUUGCUCUGUCUGCUUCAUGCAGCGAUCUGGUACUGGAGUGUUUCCAGGCUUGGUGCACCAUUU